rnacentral:rRNA from 1 species
GAUGAACGCUAGCGGGAGGCUUAAUACAUGCAAGUCGAACGGUAACAGGCGUAGCAAUACGUGCUGACGAGUGGCGCACGGGUGAGGAACACGUACGCAAUCUGCCUCUGACUGGGGGAUAGCUCCGGGAAACUGGGAUUAAUACCCCGUAACAUUACGGAAGGGCAUCCUUCUGUGAUUAAACCUCCGGGGGUCAGAGAUGAGCGUGCGUCUGAUUAGGUAGUUGGUAGGGUAACGGCCUACCAAGCCAACGAUCAGUAGCUGGCGUGAGAGCGCGACCAGCCACACGGGAACUGAGACACGGUCCCGACUCCUACGGGAGGCAGCAGUAGGGAAUAUUGGACAAUGGCUGAAAAGCUGAUCCAGCCAUCCCGCGUGAAGGCAGAAGGUCCUAUGGAUUGUAAACUUCUUUUCUCUGGGAAGAAAAGGCGGGUUUCUACCUGCUCUGACGGUACCAGAGGAAUAAGCACCGGCUAACUCCGUGCCAGCAGCCGCGGUAAUACGGGA